rnacentral:rRNA from 1 species
AGUGAACGCUGGCGGUAGGCCUAACACAUGCAAGUCGAACGGCAGCACAGUAAGAGCUUGCUCUUACGGGUGGCGAGUGGCGGACGGGUGAGGAAUACAUCGGAAUCUACUUUUUCGUGGGGGAUAACGUAGGGAAACUUACGCUAAUACCGCGUACGACCUACGGGUGAAAGCAGGGGAUCUUCGGACCUUGCGCGAUUGAAUGAGCCGAUGUCGGAUUAGCUAGUUGGCGGGGUAAAGGCCCACCAAGGCGACGAUCCGUAGCUGGUCUGAGAGGAUGAUCAGCCACACUGGAACUGAGACACGGUCCAGACUCCUACGGGAGGCAGCAGUGGGGAAUAUUGGACAAUGGGCGCAAGCCUGAUCCAGCCAUACCGCGUGUGUGAAGAAGGCCUUCGGGUUGUAAAGCCCUUUUGUUGGGAAAGAAAAGCAGCAGGUUAAUACCCCGCUGUUCUGACGGUACCCAAAGAAUAAGCACCGGCUAACUUCGUG